GGUUGGUCUGAGUGCAGUGGUGUUUACGGCUAAUUGAUCAUGACAAGUUACAGAUUCCUUUGUUCCUUCACUCCCACUGCUUCACUUGACCAGACUUUA
rnacentral:Y_RNA from 1 species